UACGGGGGGGGGUAAGCGUUGUUCGGAAUUACUGGGCGUAAAGGGCUCGUAGGCGGCCAACUAAGUCAGACGUGAAAUCCCUCAGCUUAACUGGGGAACUGCGUCUGAUACUGGAUGGCUUGGAUUCGGGAGAGGAAUGCGGAAUUCCAGGUGUAGCGGUGAAAUGCUAGAUAUCUGGAGGGACACCGGUGGCGAAGGCGGCAUUCUGGACCGAUAUUGACGCUGAGGAGCGAAAGCCAGGGGAGCAAACGGG
rnacentral:rRNA from 1 species